rnacentral:rRNA from 1 species
UACGAAGGGUGCAAGCGUUACUCGGCAUUACUGGGCGUAAAGCGUGCGUAGGCGGUUCGUUAAGUCCGUUGUGAAAGCCCUGGGCUCAACCUGGGAAUGGCAGUGGAUACUGGCGAGCUAGAGUGUGAUAGAGGAUGGUGGAAUUCCCGGUGUAGCGGUGAAAUGCGUAGAGAUCGGGAGGAACACCAGUGGCGAAGGCGGCCAUCUGGAUCAACACUGACGCUGAGGCACGAAAGCGUGGGGAGCAAGCAGG